rnacentral:rRNA from 1 species
GGACCCGCACAAGUAGUGGAGCAUGUGGUUUAAUUCGAUGAUACGCGAGGAACCUUACCAGGGCUUAAAUGCAGAACGACAGAGGUGGAAACACCUCCUUCUUCGGACGGUCUGCAAGGUGCUGCAUGGUUGUCGUCAGCUCGUGCUGUGAAGUGUCGGGUUAAGUCCCAUAACGAGCGCAACCCUAUUUCUAGUUGCCAGCGGUUCGGCCGGGGACUCUAGAGAAACUGCCAGCGUAAGCUGUGAGGAAGGUGGGGAUGACGUCAAAUCAUCACGGCCCUUACGUCCUGGGCCUACACACGUGCUACAAUGGUAGGGACAGAGAGUUGCCAACCCGCGAGGGUGAGCUAAUCUUCAAACCCUAUCUCAGUUCGGAUCGGAGUCUGCAACUCGACUCCGUGAAGUUGGAAUCGCUAGUAAUCGC